AGCAGCCGCGGUAAUUCCAGCUCCAAUAGCGUAUAUUAAAGUUGUUGCAGUUAAAAAGCUCGUAGUUGAAUUUCGGGAUUGGCGCAUCGGUCGUGCCUCACGGGGUAUGAACUGGUGCAGUCAAUUUCUCACCUUCUGGAGAACCGCGAUGUCCUUAAUUGGAUGCCGCGGGGAACCAGGACCUUUACUUUGAAAAAUUAGAGUGUUUAAAGCAGGCAUUUUUGCUUGAAUACAUUAGCAUGGAAUAAUAAAAUAGGACGGCAUAGUUCUAUUUUGUUGGUUUCUAGGACCACCGUAAUGAUUAAUAGGGAUAGUUGGGGGCAUUAGUAUUCAAUUGUCAGAGGUGAAAUUCUUGGAUUUAUUGAAGACUAACUACUGCGAAAGCAUUUGCCAAGGAUGUUUUCAUUAAUCAAGAACGAAAGUUAGGGGAUCGAAGACGAUCAGAUACCGUCGUAGUCUUAACCAUAAACUAUGCCGACUAGGAAUCAGACGAUGUUAAUUUUUAAUGACUCGUUGGCAC
rnacentral:misc_RNA from 1 species